GAUGAACGCUGGCGGCGUGCCUAAUACAUGCAAGUCGAGCGAACAGAUAAGGAGCUUGCUCCUUUGACGUUAGCGGCGGACGGGUGAGUAACACGUGGGUAACCUACCUAUAAGACUGGGAUAACUUCGGGAAACCGGAGCUAAUACCGGAUAACAUUUGGAACCGCAUGGUUCUAAAGUGAAAGAUGGUUUUGCUAUCACUUAUAGAUGGACCCGCGCCGUAUUAGCUAGUUGGUAAGGUAACGGCUUACCAAGGCAACGAUACGUAGCCGACCUGAGAGGGUGAUCGGCCACACUGGAACUGAGACACGGUCCAGACUCCUAAGGGAGGCAGCAGUAGGGAAUCUUCCGCAAUGGGCGAAAGCCUGACGGAGCAACGCCGCGUGAGUGAUGAAGGGUUUCGGCUCGUAAAACUCUGUUAUUAGGGAAGAACAAAUGUGUAAGUAACUGUGCACGUCUUGACGGUACCUAAUCAGAAAGCCACGGCUAACUACGUG
rnacentral:rRNA from 1 species